GUACACACCGCCCGUCGUCCUACCGAUGGGACGAAGAGAUGAACCUGGCGGACAAACCGUAGGUGAGGGAAACAGUUAAAUCUAUUCGUCUGUAGGAAGGAAAAUCGUAAAAGGUCUUCGUAGGUGAACUGCAGAAGAU
rnacentral:rRNA from 1 species